UACGUAGGGAGCAAGCGUUGUCCGGAAUCAUUGGGCGUAAAGCGCGCGUAGGCGGCCCUGUAAGUCCGUUGUGAAAGUCAAAGGCUCAACCUUUGAAAGCCGAUGGAUACUGCAGGGCUAGAGUCCGGAAGAGGCGAGUGGAAUUCCUGGUGUAGCGGUGGAAUGCGCAGAUAUCAGGAGGAACACCAAUAGCGAAGGCAGCUCGCUGGGACGGUACUGACGCUGAGGAGCGAAAGCGUGGGGAGCAAACAGG
rnacentral:rRNA from 1 species